rnacentral:rRNA from 1 species
GUUACAAACUCUCAUGGUGUGACGGGCGGUGUGUACAAGGCCCGGGAACGUAUUCACCGCGGCGUGCUGAUCCGCGAUUACUAGCGAUUCCGACUUCGUGUAGGCGAGUUGCAGCCUACAGUCCGAACUGAGAAUGGCUUUAAGAGAUUAGCUUGACCUCGCGGUCUCGCAACUCGUUGUACCAUCCAUUGUAGCACGUGUGUAGCCCAGGUCAUAAGGGGCAUGAUGAUUUGACGUCAUACCCACCUUCCUCCGGUUUGUCACCGGCAGUCUUACUAGAGUGCCCAACUAAAUGCUGGCAACUAGUCAUAAGGGUUGCGCUCGUUGCGGGACUUAACCCAACAUCUCACGACACGAGCUGACGACAACCAUGCACCACCUGUCAUUUUGCCCCCGAAGGGGAAACCUGAUCUCUCAGGUGAUCAAAAGAUGUCAAGACCUGGUAAGGUUCUUCGCGUUGCUUCGAAUUAAACCACAUGCUCCACCGCUUGUGCGGGCCCCCGUCAAUUCCUUUGAGUUUCAACCUUGCGGUCGUACUCCCCA